AACGCGAAGAACCUUACCUGGGUUUGAAAUGCAAUUGACCGCCUCAGAAAUGAGGUUUUCCCGCAAGGGACAAUUGCACAGGUGCUGCAUGGCUGUCGUCAGCUCGUGCCGUGAGGUGUUGGGUUAAGUCCCGCAACGAGCGCAACCCUUGUCGUUAGUUGCCAGCACGUAAUGGUGGGCACUCUAACGAGACUGCCUCGGUUAACGGGGAGGAAGGUGAGGAUGACGUCAAGUCCGCAUGGCCUUUAUGUCCAGGGCUACACACGUACUACAAUGGUCGGUACAGAAGGGAGCGAAACCGCGAGGUGGAGCAAAUCCUCAAAGCCGGCCUCAGUUCAGAUUGUAGUCUGCAACUCGACUACAUGAAGAUGGAAUUGCUAGUAAUGGCAGGUCAGCAUUACUGCCGUGAAUACGUUCCCGGGCCUUGUACACACCGGCUAC
rnacentral:rRNA from 1 species